AAGAAAGGAACUUGGCAAGAUUUUCAUUCUGACUGUAGAAGCUCUUUUCUUAAUGCGAGCUUCUCAAAUGCUUUAUCUUUAACAAGGACCGUGGUAACUAGUGCGGGGAUGACUGCGUAAUAAGACUCAUGGGUGCUUUGCCAAAGAAACUUUCAGGAAAGGGAAAGAAAGUUGCUUGAUGAAAGUAAGGUGGGGGUUUUGUGCAGGCGAGCGGCAGAAAGAAGGAUUCAUCUGGAUUCCGGUGCCUGUGGAAUGAGGGACAACGGGGGAACGGGGCACAAAUCUGAACUCCCUCCGCACUCUCUUCCUGAAAGGGAAGAGAAGAGCUUCAAAAAGAAUGAGAGUGACAGGGUAUCCAACUGAAAAGGAGUGGGCUGAAUGCUGAUUAGACAUUGGUGGUGAAUCUCUGGAUGAUUUGUAGUAGAAAAGCAAGGACUGCUGACAGUGGUUUGACAAAAGCAGAGAGAAAAUGACUCAUACACUCAUGAAAUGGAAACCUCAGAACGACCAAGCACACAUACACACACAGGCCCCAGAUGUGGAAGACUAUGUGCAGGCUGCAAUUUUCAAUGGUUACAGUUUGGACCUGAACCGGUUUGGCUGGAGACGCUGCUUCUGCAGACAUUGGAGCAACACUGCUUUGGAUUCUUCGUGCUUCGACCUUGGACUUCGGCUGACGAUGCUUCUCUUCUUGCAACUCCCUCUGUUAACCAUUUGUGUACUGUGUCUUUUGUUUUGCCUUAGAGCGCUUUGUUUGACUUGUUGCUUUUUGCAUCCAGUUGAUCUGGAUUACAUUUCUGUUUACCCUUUUGAACCAGGACUGGUUUGGGUUUUUGAGUUUUUGACCAGUGGAAUUGCAUUUAAGUAUCCCUGCGUCCUUUUCCUUUUGUUUCAAUAAACUCUGUUUUGAAGA